rnacentral:rRNA from 1 species
CAUAAUCAUUAGCUCUUUUAAUUGAAAGCUUGUAUGAACGGUUAAACAAAAGAGGUUCUGUCUUCUUUUUUAGAAUUUGAAUUUAACUUUUAAGUGAAAAGGCUUAAAUUGUUCAAAGGGACGAUAAGACCCUAUAAAGCUUUAUAAGUGAUAAAAAUUUAAUGAAUUUUAUAAUAAAAAAAGAUUUUUAUUAUUUAUUGUGUUGGGGCGACACGGAUAUAAUUCAAGGUAACUGUUAGAGAGAGCAACAUAAAAUUUAUGAAAGUUAAUGAUCCUUAAUAAAGAUUCAAAGACAAAGUUACUUUAGGGAUAACAGCGUUAUUCUUUUUGAGAGUUCCUAUCGAAAUAAGAGUUUGCGACCUCGAUGUUGAAUCAUAAGAUCUUUAUAAUGCAGCAGUUAUAUAAG